rnacentral:rRNA from 1 species
AUACGUAGGGGGCGAGCGUUGUCCGGAAUGAUUGGUCGUAAAGGGCGCGUAGGCGGCCCGGUAAGUCUGGAGUGAAAGUCCUGUUUUUAAGAUGGGAAUUGCUUUGGAUACUGUCGGGCUUGAGUGCAGGAGAGGAAAGUGGAACUCCCAGUGUAGCGGUGGAAUGCGUAGAUAUAUGGAGGAACACCAGUGGCGAAGGCGGCUCUCUGGUCUGUAACUGACGCUGAGGCUCGAAAGCAUGGGUAGCGAACAGGAUUAGAUACCCUGGUAGUCCAUGCUGUAAACGAUGAGUGCUAAGUGUUGGGAGGUUUCCGCCUCUCAGUGCUGCAGCUAACGCAUUAAGCACUCCGCCUGGGGAGUACGACCGCAAGGUUAAAACUCAAAUGAAUUGACGGGG